rnacentral:lncRNA from 1 species
UCUUAUACCACAUUUUAUUCUGAGGAGUCCCACAGUUUGAUAAGCUGUAGUUUGGAAGAAACACUUCAGUGCACCUGAAAGCUGAAGCACACGAUUUUUCUUUGGAAGAGCAAACAAAGCAGAAUGAGAAGGGAAGAAGCAGGGCAACAGCCUGCUUGUCCCCAGUCGACAGAUGAGUGACCACGUUAACAGGACACAGUUUGUCGGGCUCCACUUGAAAGGCCACCAGUGCCAUUUGCUAACAUGGGGACCGGCCAUUCCUCUAGGAAAGACGGCCAGCUGGCAGAGCAUGGCGUCAAAGCAAGGAGCUGACCCAAUCUGAAACAGCUGAGAAUUCACCCUAUAUUUUCUGUAAAUGAUAGAAGAACUUUUUCAGUUCCUCACAGUGGCUUAAUACCAGAUCCAGCUCUUUUUUCUUUUCUUUUCUUUUCUUUUUUUUUUUUUUUUCCUAAAUCUCCUAGAAUAUUUCCUUACGUAUUUUCUGCAUCAGUUUUUGGUAGAGUCCUGGUAGUCAUUGCAGGUUAUUUUGUCCUUGGCUCCGUCUUUUGAAAUGCUCAGCUGUGCCGUGAGGGAGUAGGCAGACUACUCUGGGAUUUCGAUGAGCAGUCAAAUGGUAACAACAAUGAACAUUAAAAGCAAAUUGCUGAGAGGCCGUGGGGCACAAGCCGGAGGUCCUCUCCAUAAACAAGUUAGGAAAUGUUUUCAAAACAGUAAUGCAUUUGGUUAAGUGAGUCUCGGUUGAUGGCUGUCUGUAAAUGAUUCUCAGAGAAAAGAAGCUGCAUCCAUCGACUUGCUUUCACUGGAUGAUUUGGAUUUGGAAGCAGAGCCGGCUUUGCCUUGCUGUGUGAAGCAGAGAACCCCACGUCGCUGCAAUGGCGCCCGGCACGCUGCUCGCUCACCUCCGCGCUGACUGCAGCACCUCUGCUCCUUCACAGCACCCUUUGCUUCUGAGUGGCCUUGUCCCAUUCCCAGAUCCUAUUUCCCUUACCAUGGAAAGCGAAUUAAAAAGGCUGGUGGGGAAGAUAAAGGAUCCUGCUGUUCAGUGGGUGUAUGCGAUGGAAAGUUGCUACCUCCCCUCCCUGUGCCUGCUGCUUUUCCCAUCCG